rnacentral:lncRNA from 1 species
UUCAGACUAUACCAACAAGACAGGAGACAGAACAUCACCAGGAGUCUAAGAGAGCCCAGCUGUCCUCCGGAGAUGCUCCACUGACUGUGGGCGUGGAAGCAGGCUCUGAUCUCGAAUUCCGGUCACCACCAUUCAUUGGAGGGCUGUCAAACACGAAGAAACAAAUUUGAGAAGGAGGUUAAGUAUGUAAGAUCUCAAAUAACCAAGACCCCCAAUUCCAGAUAUGUGGCCAGGAGA